rnacentral:rRNA from 1 species
GAUGAACGCUGGCGGCGUGCCUAAUACAUGCAAGUCGAGCGAACAGACGAGGAGCUUGCUCCUCUGACGUUAGCGGCGGACGGGUGAGUAACACGUGGAUAACCUACCUAUAAGACUGGGAUAACUUCGGGAAACCGGAGCUAAUACCGGAUAAUAUAUUGAACCGCAUGGUUCAAUAGUGAAAGACGUUUUUGCUUUCACUUAUAGAUGGAUCCGCGCCGCAUUAGCUAGUUGGUAAGGUAACGGCUUACCAAGGCAACGAUGCGUAGCCGACCUGAGAGGGUGAUCGGCCACACUGGAACUGAGACACGGUCCAGACUCCUACGGGAGGCAGCAGUAGGGAAUCUUCCGCAAUGGGCGAAAGCCUGACGGAGCAACGCCGCGUGAGUGAUGAAGGUCUUCGGAUCGUAAAACUCUGUUAUUAGGGAAGAACAAAUGUGUAAGUAACUAUGCACGUCUUGACGGUACCUAAUCAGAAAGCCACGGCUAACUACGUG